GGGGCUUCCCUUGAUCUAUAAAAAUGUUAGCACUGUCCGACGAAUUGGCUUCACAUGGGAUCAAUUCAACGAUCUCCUCAAAUUUCGAAGGUCCUUCUGAUAAUUCCAAGAAUUCCUCUUCUUGUGCUUUGGUGUCUACGAUAUAGCAUAUGCAUGGGUUAGUGAUGUAACUUUUUGAAAACAAGACUAUACAAGUUUCCUUCAUGAUAAAGUUGCAAGCCAACAAGUGACUAAACAAUUUAUCAUGAUAAAGUUGCAAGCCAAC
rnacentral:lncRNA from 1 species